GUGGAGCAGGAGAGAGGGCAGCUGAGGAGGAGCAAGUGCUCAGUUCAGUUUCUUUCUGGAUCCUUGAGAGUUCUAUAUGUAUGGUUGGGGUGAGCUUGUGGGCUCCAGGCUUUCCUGUGCUUUCUGCUGGUGUUGAACCUAUAUGGAGCAAGGGUACCUUAUUAUGGUUUCCUCCCAUGAAUAUGAUCUUGUUAGGAACUUAUUAUCUGUGCAGUCCUCUGUUUUGUUUAGAUUUGUCUGAAGGAUGUCACAUUAGAAAUUUCUAAGAUGUCAAAGCUAUAUAUCAGUCUGAACUGAGUGCCUCAGUGACUCAUGACUUUUCUCAAUACCAGUACCACUCAGUGUAAACACCCACCACAUUUUGAAGUGGGGAGUUUCUUAAACUGCUUCAUUGUCAUAGCUCCAUGGAUGGCCAUUAUCUAUAAGAAGACCAAACCUGGAGGGAAGUGUUUUGUUAAAUACCACACAGCUUGUAUUUCAGAUUCAUUUCUAUGGGCUUUCAUUGGAGGAGAAGACAAUGGGGCGAGGGCGCCUGUAUUCUAACAAUGGAGGUCCUGUGAAGGAAAAUCUCUCUUUCUCUCUCUGGACCCUGGUCCAUGCUCAUACCUGAGCCUGAAGCACUUGUGCUCAAGAGUUUUGGAGUUUUAGACUUGAUUGUUGUUACAGGUUUGGGUUUGUUUUAUUUGCUCUGAGCUGAUUCCUUCUUCUUUUUCCACAUGGCCCCAAAUAACCUAUUGAGACAUGUGGUCCGAGACUUCCUUUUAACAACUUAUUAUGGUGUUGCUUUUUCUAGACUUUGAUAAAUGAAAUAAAGUGAGCUAGAGUUCAUGACUAAUAGAACCCUAUCUCCAUUCCAACCCAUUCACUAGCCAACCACUUCUACGUGUUCUCAUACUCACAUAUAUGCCAGAGGCCUUAAUGUAAAGCUGCAACUGAACCAGGAUCCUUGAUUUCAAUUUCCAGAAUCAUUUGACCCAAUCACCCAGUGCAGUAACCUCCACUUUCCCAUCUGUAAAAUGAGUUCAAAGUUGAAAAGAGUAUUCUUCAUGCAAAAUGGAUGUAAGUAGAUGGCUAAAGGCUGUGAUACAUGACAGUAGAUUAUCAUUUUAUAAUGGCAAAUUUUAGAAUCCUAUGAGCUGCCCAAGGCAUUGCCGAUAAUUUAUUAUUAAUGACUUCUAAAAACUCCAGCCCUGCAGGAAGCUUCAGCCAUCAUUACUGUGCUGCAUUUUGCUUUUGGUUAAUGGACAGCCAUAUUUCACUGUCAUUUUCAUGGCUAGCAAGAUAGCACAGAUGAAUAAUUUUAACAAAAUAUAGGACAGGCAAUGACACAUUCCAGACACCAUCACUUUCAUUAAUUAGAUGACCAACUUUGGCAUUGUAAGAACCAAGUUUCCCUGAGCACAUCUAGUGUCCCUUGUAUGUCCUUGACAUCAACACUUGCUCUCUAUCCAACUCUCAGAAGCAAGGAUUGGACUUAGCACUUUCAUACUUAAAAAACUAAAACUCAGACUCAAUCAUGUGCUUUUAGUGUAACUGAGAAGAAAAAAAAUUCUCCUGAUAUGUGCUCAAGUGAAGGCUGGUUUUGAUGGGAUGCACGUUUAGAACAGCACUUAGGAAGCUGAGACAGUAGGAUCUCUGUGAGUUCAAGUCCAGCCAGGGCUACUUGAUGAGAUUCUGAAAACAAAACAAAGCAAACACAAACAGUAACACAAGCAUGAAGGAACUGUAGCGGCUAGGUAGUAAAGAGUGGCUACUGCUCUUGUAGCAGACCUGGGUUUGAUUCUAAGGACUCAGAUCUGGCAGAUCAUGACCAAAUGUAACUCCAGUUCCUGGGGUCUUAAAGGCCUCUUUUGGUCUCCAUGGGAACCUGCAUUGACGUGCACAUAUACCUCCCCAAUUCACAUGUACGUAUAAUUAAAAAAAAAAAAACAAAAGUAAAUCAUUAAAAAGCUCAAGUAAUAGGGGGCUUCUGUUCAUAUGAGGACAACAUCCUUAAGGAUUAAGAUGAGGAAACUGUUUUGAUAUCAUCAAAGAAGGCUUUUCUUCUAGGUUUUCAUAAGAAGAGAACAUGCCUCAGAGAUGUCGUAUCACAACAGAUGGAAGAACCAGCCUAUGAUCUAGAAAACUCUAGACUAAGUCCGAUUGCACAGGCACAUGCCCCUUAACUUGUGAUUGCGUUAUCACCCACCCACCCCACCUUUUGAGACAGAGUUUCUCUGUGUAACAGAGCUCUGCCUGUCCUGGACUCACUUUGUAAACUAGGCUGGCCUCAAACUUAGAGAUUUCCACCUGUCUCAGCCUCCUGAGUACUAGGAUUAAAAGCAUAUGCCACUAUGCCUGGCUUAAUUCACAUUUUAAAAUUGGAAACACCCUAAGUUGAAAUUCAUCUAAUACACCUGGCCAAGCCUCAUAGCUUGGCGCGGACUCUAAGCUCAGUAUCAGCGGUCUGCCCUCCCCAUCAAAUGCCUGGCUGCCAGCUACAGCUUCUGCCUCCGCCAAGUAGCACAAGAGAAUAUCCACAUUCUAUUGAUCAUUGCUAGCCCAGGUAAAGACUGAAACUUGAAGCCCAGAGUAUGGUUUUUGCUGAAUGCAUACAACUCUUGCACCAGCACAGUGUAUCAAACUUAGAAGUCAAAUCUUGCUGUAAGGCCCAGGCUGUGUGGACUACAGAGGCAAAAUUACUGUAACCCACAGUGUUACCACUAGACGUAGCAUUCCGCACCUCUAGCUCAUAAGUCUUCCUAUUCUACAGAGCAAACAUACUUGUGCCCGGAGAACGAUCUCAUCUAAGAUACUAAGCACAGGAAUAGGAGCACCACUGGCUUGUCACGUUCAGCUCUCAUCAUUUCCACGUCUGCUCUGGCACUGGCUGAGGAUGACCAAACACUGCAUUUCCAAAAGACCGAAGAAGAGCAAACAACAGUUCUUUGCACCCAUGGUGCAACAGUUAGAUGCAGAAGGUAAAGGGAGGAGGUCUUUAGCACGAUGCAUGGCUCGUUAUUUAACAGUUUACACCUAGUGAAUCAGAUGCUUUGCUUUGAGGUCUUCUGGUCUCCCUGAGUUUUCCUUUGUGCCGGCCCAGCUCUCAUAACAAAUAGUUUUCCAUCCAAUUAUAGAAGGCAGUGCCUGUUGCCCGACCAGCAGGCUCCUUGCUUGUGUGGUAACGAUCAGCGGGAACACGGACUUCAAGGCUUUUAUUUUCUCAUCUGCUUUCCUUUUCCAAAGCUGCCCCUUGUUUAGUUUUAGGUUAUUCGAUGCCAGGAACCAGCUCUCGAUGUAUCAUAUUUUCCAUCCAUUCAUCAAUUUUGACCCAGGGAAGUAUCCUGUGUGCAGACACAGACAGCGAAGGUCUCUUGCCCUCUCUCACAAGAGAAGCCAGUGUUUAGACUUGGAAUCCAUUCUGGACUAACAAAAGAACAAGAAAGAAUGUGUUCUCCAGGCACUGUGAAGUUGCCUGGCUAUAGACACAACUUAAUCGGCCUCAAUAGAUGGGCAUUGUGGUGUCUGCUAUGUGUAGUGUGGUUUAGAAAGUAUUUCUUAAAAAGUCUUUCUCAGGAGGGAAGUCCCUAGAGAUACCCAAGAGAAAAGAUUCUGAGGUAUGCCAAGUCUGCAGAGUGUUCUGUUCUGGAACUCUCUGUUGCACAUCCACAGUGCACUAUGGGACGGCUCUGCUCUGAUGACCCUGGCUUCUGAAAGCAAAGCCUGGGAAACAUAGUUGUGCAACCCGGGAUGUCAAAUUCUAUUUGAUCAUAGACUCUUUGUUUUAGUCACCCCAUCAAGAUCUGAAGCAGCGAGUGUAACGAGUGGUCUACGAGUUACAGUCUGGGACUAGAUCAGUCAGUGCCUCUGAUCAAAAGAACAUUGAGAGCGGCAGUGGCAAUCAGUCAACAGUGGCAGAUGACUCCGGGGGGGCCAACAAGGCCUCAGCUCCACUGGUGGCAGUGGAUGCGAUUUUAUGAAGUUGCUUUGGAAGUACAUUAAAAAGCGGAUACAAAGAGACCUUGAGCUCGUUCCAGCUGCUACAGAAACUCUUCAGGUUGCUAUCUCUGGUCAGGGAUUUUUGACACAAAUGCCCUGAAUUUCCUCACCUUGGAUAACCUGGACCAACCAGAGGGAUUUUGUAGGAUGCAUCUUCCCUGGGAUCUAUCUGAUGUUUUUCUUGUGAUUGUCUGGGGAUGUGGAUUUUGGAGGCGAGAACAAUGGCAUAACUAUGUUGGGGGCAUAGCACAUGAGUAGAGGCCAGAAGAGGACAUUGGAUCACUUGAAGCUGGAGUUCCAGGAGGCUGCAAAUCCUGGGUCCUGAUCUUUUAGACGGCUCAACUGCUUCCUGGGAGUAAUGUUGCCCCUAUUGCUCCUUCCUACUGGUGAGCUGCUAAAGGGCUUAACAUGGAGGCUACGUGCACCCUGAAUAAAUAUCUGUUUACUUGGACAAGAUUAUCAUCCCCAACUCCUUACACUGCCAUGGCGUGAUUUUGAAGAAGCCAGAGGGGUUAUGGUCUCCAUCACUCUAAACAACUGGAAAACGAAGGACAAGAGGAAGAAAACGAAGGACAAGAGGAAGAAAACGAAGGACAAGAGGAAGAAAACGAAGGACAAGAGGAAGAAUUCCUAUGGUAGUUGCCCCAGAGCAUGGGGCCCAGCAAAAUCAGUCCUAUUAAGCAUGAGCCUUUGAAACAGUGGGCUCUCCAGUUCCUUCAUCUGUAGAGACUAACGAGCCUUGAGGAUCUGAUUCAGGGGCUUUGAACCUCAUCCUUAACUCCUUACGUCAUCCUGCAGGUCUGGUUUCAGAUGACCAAUUCUGCACCAACAUAGGUUAAUCUAGCCUCGAGGUGACCCUGAAGAGGAUGCAGCCAUGUGUGGCCUUUCCCAUUUCAAACUCUCUCUUGCUCAAUUCAUGGAGACUGUUUUCUGAGGCACUCAGGUAUGCCUUCUUUAGCUGAUUCAGUUUUCCAUUUCCAAAGCACUGUUAACAAAUUGGCAACCUUUGAGUUCUAUGACCAGAACCAUGUGAUCACACAUCACCCUUGACCUCCACUCUCAUUCAGUGUCUUUAUUUCCUCAACAGCUGAUUUUAUUGACUCUUGAUUUCUCUAAUAGAGACAGAACCUUUCUUUCAUCCCUUGCAGGGGUUCAUCUGGCAUCUUCAUAGUGCUCUUGACUUUGAGGGCCCCGCUACCCUCCAUAGACAUCACAAGUCAGGAAAUUGUUCACAGGUCUCUGGCACAUCUGCUUGCACCCAUUGUCUGAUUCUGUUGAUUAACUCAAAUAUAAAAUAUUAAAAAAUGCAUAAAAUUUUAA